GGCUUAAAGUUUGAUCAUGGCUCAAAUUGAACGCUGGCGGCAGGCCUAACACUUGCAAGUCAAACGGUAACAGGAAAAACCUUGCUUCUUUGCUGACAAGUGGCGAACGGGUGAGUAAUGUCUGGAAAACUGCCUGAUGGAGGGGGAUAACUACUGGAAACGGUAGCUAAUACCGCAUAACGUCCCAGGACCAAAAAGGGGGACCUUCGGGCCUCUUGCCUUCGGAUGUGCCCAGAUGGGAUUAGCUUGUUGGGGGGGUAACGGCUCACCAAGGCAACAAUCCCUAGCUGGUCUGAAAGGAUGACCAGCCACACUGGAACUGAAACACGGUCCAAACUCCUACGGAAGGCAGCAGUGGGGAAUAUUGCACAAUGGGCGCAAGCCUGAUGCAGCCUUGCCGCGUGUAUGAAGAAGGCCUUCGGGUUGUAAAGUACUUUCAGCGGGAAGGAAGGGAGUAAAGUUAAUACCUUUGCUCAUUGACGUUACCCGCAGAAGAAGCACCGGCUAACUCCGUGCCAGCAGCCGCGGUGAUACGGAGGGUGCAAGCGUUAAUCGGAAUUACUGGGCGUAAAGCGCACGCAGGCGGUUUGUUAAGUCAGAUGUGAAAUCCCCGGGCUCACCCUGGAACUGCAUCUGAUACUGCAAGCUUGAGUCUCGUAGAGGGGGUAGAUUCCAGGUGUAGCGUGAAUGCGUAGA
rnacentral:rRNA from 1 species